ACUGGGAUAGCUCAGUUGGUAGAACAUGAGUCUCUGACUCUCAGGGUUGUGUAUUUGAGCCCCACGUUGGGUG